GAUGAACGCUCGCGAUAGGCUUAACACAUGCAAGUCGAGGGGUAACGUGUUGGAAGCUUGCUUCCGACGACGACGACCGGCGGAUGGGUGCGUAACGCGUAUGCAACUUGCCUCACAGUGGAGAAUAACCCGGAGAAAUCCGGACUAAUACUCCAUACACUCUUAAGUACGCCUGUACAUGAGAGGAAAGAUUUAUCGCUGUGAGAUAGGCAUGCGUCCUAUUAGGUAGUUGGUGAGGUAACGGCUCACCAAGCCGACGAUAGGUAGGGGUGCUGAGAGGCAGAUCCCCCACAUUGGGACUGAGACACGGCCCAAACUCCUACGGGAGGCAGCAGUGAGGAAUAUUGGUCAAUGGAGGAAACUCUGAACCAGCCAAGUCGCGUGAAGGAAGAAUGUCCUAAGGAUUGUAAACUUCUUUAGCGAGCGAGUAAGGACUUCCACGUGAUGGGAGUUUGAAAGUAGCUCGAGAAUAAGUAUCGGCUAACUCCGUG
rnacentral:rRNA from 1 species